rnacentral:rRNA from 1 species
AUUGAACGCUGGCGGCAUGCUUUACACAUGCAAGUCGAACGGUAACAGGCCGCAAGGUGCUGACGAGUGGCGAACGGGUGAGUAAUGCAUCGGAACGUGCCCAGUCGUGGGGGAUAACGCAGCGAAAGCUGCGCUAAUACCGCAUACGAUCUAUGGAUGAAAGCGGGGGACCGUAAGGCCUCGCGCGAUUGGAGCGGCCGAUGUCAGAUUAGGUAGUUGGUGGGGUAAAGGCUCACCAAGCCAACGAUCUGUAGCUGGUCUGAGAGGACGACCAGCCACACUGGGACUGAGACACGGCCCAGACUCCUACGGGAGGCAGCAGUGGGGAAUUUUGGACAAUGGGCGCAAGCCUGAUCCAGCAAUGCCGCGUGCAGGAAGAAGGCCUUCGGGUUGUAAACUGCUUUUAUACAGGAAGAAACGACUCUUGCGAGAGGCAUUGACGGUACUGUAUGAAUAAGCACCGGCUAACUCCGUGCCAGCCGCCGCCGUAAAAC